GACGAACGCUGGCGGCGUGCUUAACACAUGCAAGUCGAACGGUGAAGCUCCAGCUUGCUGGAGUGGAUCAGUGGCGAACGGGUGAGUAACACGUGAGCAACCUGCCCCUGACUCUGGAAUAAGCGCUGGAAACGGCGUCUAAUACUGGAUACGAGAAGGGUCCGCAUGGGCACUUUCUGGAAAGUUUUUCGGUUGGGGAUGGGCUCGCGGCCUAUCAGCUUGUUGGUGAGGUAAUGGCUCACCAAGGCGACGACGGGUAGCCGGCCUGAGAGGGCGACCGGCCCACUGGGGACGGAAACACGGCCCAAACCCCUCGGGGAGGCAGAGGGGGGGAAUAUUGCACAAGGGGCGAAAGCCGGAUGCAGCGACGCCGGGUGGGGGAUGACGGCCUUCGGGUUGAAACCCUUUUUCAGCAGGAAAGAAGCGAAAGUGACGGUACCGGCAGAAGAAGCCCCGGCUAACUACGU
rnacentral:rRNA from 1 species